GACGAACGCUGGCGGCGUGCUUAACACAUGCAAGUCGAACGGAAAGGCCCUGCUUUUGUGGGGUGCUCGAGUGGCGAACGGGUGAGUAACACGUGAGUAACCUGCCCUUGACUUUGGGAUAACUUCAGGAAACUGGGGCUAAUACCGGAUAGGAGCUCCUGCUGCAUGGUGGGGGUUGGAAAGUUUCGGCGGUUGGGGAUGGACUCGCGGCCUAUCAGCUUGUUGGUGGGGUAGUGGCUUACCAAGGCUUUGACGGGUAGCCGGCCUGAGAGGGUGACCGGCCACAUUGGGACUGAGAUACGGACCAGACUCCUACGGGAGGCAGCAGUGGGGAAGAGUGCACAAUGGGCGGAGGCCUGAUGCAGCAACGCCGCGUGCGGGAUGACGGCCUUCGGGUUGUAAACCGCUUUCGCCUGUGACGAAGCGUGAGUGACGGUAAUGGGUAAAGAAGCACCGGCUAACUACGUG
rnacentral:rRNA from 1 species